rnacentral:rRNA from 2 species
UAUUGAUUGGUGCUUGCAUCAUGAUUUACAUUUGAGUGAGUGGCGAACUGGUGAGUAACACGUGGGAAACCUGCCCAGAAGCGGGGGAUAACACCUGGAAACAGAUGCUAAUACCGCAUAACAACUUGGACCGCAUGGUCCGAGUUUGAAAGAUGGCUUCGGCUAUCACUUUUGGAUGGUCCCGCGGCGUAUUAGCUAGAUGGUGGGGUAACGGCUCACCAUGGCAAUGAUACGUAGCCGACCUGAGAGGGUAAUCGGCCACAUUGGGACUGAGACACGGCCCAAACUCCUACGGGAGGCAGCAGUAGGGAAUCUUCCACAAUGGACGAAAGUCUGAUGGAGCAACGCCGCGUGAGUGAAGAAGGGUUUCGGCUCGUAAAACUCUGUUGUUAAAGAAGAACAUAUCUGAGAGUAACUGUUCAGGUAUUGACGGUAUUUAACCAGAAAGCCACGGCUAACUACGUGCCAGCAGCCGCGGUAAUACGUAGGUGGCAAGCGUUGUCCGGAUUUAUUGGGCGUAAAGCGAGCGCAGGCGGUUUUUUAAGUCUGAUGUGAAAGCCUUCGGCUCAACCGAAGAAGUGCAUCGGAAACUGGGAAACUUGAGUGCAGAAGAGGACAGUGGAACUCCAUGUGUAGCGGUGAAAUGCGUAGAUAUAUGGAAGAACACCAGUGGCGAAGGCGGCUGUCUGGUCUGUAACUGACGCUGAGGCUCGAAAGUAUGGGUAGCAAACAGGAUUAGAUACCCUGGUAGUCCAUACCGUAAACGAUGAAUGCUAAGUGUUGGAGGGUUUCCGCCCUUCAGUGCUGCAGCUAACGCAUUAAGCAUUCCGCCUGGGGAGUACGGCCGCAAGGCUGAAACUCAAAGGAAUUGACGGGGGCCCGCACAAGCGGUGGAGCAUGUGGUUUAAUUCGAAGCUACGCGAAGAACCUUACCAGGUCUUGACAUACUAUGCAAAUCUAAGAGAUUAGACGUUCCCUUCGGGGACAUGGAUACAGGUGGUGCAUGGUUGUCGUCAGCUCGUGUCGUGAGAUGUUGGGUUAAGUCCCGCAACGAGCGCAACCCUUAUUAUCAGUUGCCAGCAUUAAGUUGGGCACUCUGGUGAGACUGCCGGUGACAAACCGGAGGAAGGUGGGGAUGACGUCAAAUCAUCAUGCCCCUUAUGACCUGGGCUACACACGUGCUACAAUGGAUGGUACAACGAGUUGCGAACUCGCGAGAGUAAGCUAAUCUCUUAAAGCCAUUCUCAGUUCGGAUUGUAGGCUGCAACUCGCCUACAUGAAGUCGGAAUCGCUAGUAAUCGCGGAUCAGCAUGCCGCGGUGAAUACGUUCCCGGGCCUUGUACACACCGCCCGUCACACCAUGAGAGUUUGUAACACCCAAAGUCGG